AUGUUUCCCCUGAGUGCUUUUACACCGACAGAAAUCAAUAGCGGCUCUGCUGUCACCCUCUCAGCUCGGCGACUGCUCUUCAAGCAGGGGUGUGAAUUUGAAAGACAACAAGGGCUUCUCUGUUCUUGCUCUCACCGCCUUGCCGAUGUGUCCUGUAUUUUUGCAAUGUUUGAUCAACUAUUGGGACACAGGCUGGAGAAUGGAAAGAAGAAAGAAAAUAAGACUAGAACAACACAUUGUACAUGUCGGCAUCUUCUCAGUGGCUCAGGCGACUGCAGGGCAAGAUCUCUGGUGUAUGAGCGAGUAGCAGGUUACUGGAAAAACAGUGGUGUGAUAACAUAUGUCACUGCCAGAUCCUGGAGAGCGUUCGAUGGAGGAGCAUCAUAGGAGGUAUGUUUGUGAUGUGAUGUCGCCAACCAACACCGAAAAUGUUCACUGCAGGUUGAAUCCGCAUUUCGUUUGUGGAUUGCUGGAGGUGACACAUCAGGACACUAGGAUGCAUUUGGUACAGAUUAGGGGCAGUUGAGAUGGAUUAUUAGGGUGAAAAAUGACUCCGAGAUGGAAUUGUAGGAGGGCUGGCUGGCAAAGAACAGAUCCUGACAGCUGUUGGUCCUCCAGCUUCUCUCAGCAGGAGAUAGUCGCAGACAUGCCCACAGACGCCUACCACAACAACAGCCAACAGGCCGAAAUAUUAUCCUACACACAAACAGACAAGAAAACAUUACUUUAGAAUGUUUAAGAGUUCUAUGUGGAGCAGUUACAAAAUAGAGAUGAACAGUGAUGCACCAAAGGUUUUUUUUUAACCGAAACACCAAAAACAAAAGUGUUAAUUUGGCCCAAAAUUAAAAAUUAAUUAGGGUAAAUAAAACUUAAAUUCAGGGUGUCA
ensembl:lncRNA